CCUAUGGGGGGCAGCAGGCGCGAAAACUUUACAAUGCGGGAAACCGUGAUAAGGGGACACCGAGUGCCAGCAUCAUAUGCUGGCUGUCCAGGUGUGUAAAAUACACCUGUUAGCAAGGGCCGGGCAAGACCGGUGCCAGCCGCCGCGGUAACACCGGCGGCCCGAGUGGUGAUCGUGAUUAUUGGGUCUAAAGGGUCCGUAGCCGGUUUGGUCAGUCCUCCGGGAAAUCUGAUAGCUCAACUAUUAGGCUUUCGGGGGAUACUGCCAGACUUGGAACCGGGAGAGGUAAGAGGUACUACAGGGGUAGGAGUGAAAUCUUGUAAUCCCUGUGGGACCACCUGUGGCGAAGGCGUCUUACCAGAACGGGUUCGACGGUGAGGGACGAAAGCUGGGGGCACGAACCGGAUUAGAUACCCGCGUAGUCC
rnacentral:rRNA from 1 species